AGAAUCUGAGGAUAAUUCAGAGAGCUCCAGAGAGCUCCAUCUAGUGAUGAGAGAAACCUACCCAUGAAUGAAUUGUCAAAGCCCCUUGCUGAAAACUCAGAGAGAGGAAUGAAUUCUUGUGGAUAGGACCAGAGGUUGAAUGACUCUCUCCCAAGCAAGCAGAUGGUGUAUCCCUGAGGUGGAAGUGCAGGUCCUGGGGCAAAUUUUGGGCAAGAUGGACCACUUGAAGGAAGCUGUGACUCUUCAGAUGUAUAUGGGUCUUUUCAGAUAGUGAAGAAAACUGAGAAUCCCUGGAACCACAGUAGCAAGCCAUGAAGUGAACAGUUUUGCUCCCUGCUAUGAUGUGCUAUCAUGCCACAGGCCCAAAAUCAAUGGGGCAAAUUGAUCAUGCACUGAAACCUCCAAAAGUGUGAGUUGCAA